rnacentral:rRNA from 1 species
UCAGACGAUGCGUCAUGCAUAUCAAUAAGCGGAGGAAAAGAAACUAACUAAGGAUUCCCCUCAGUAACGGCGAGUGAAGCGGGAAGAGCUCAAAUUUGAAAUCUUAAAGGGUUCUACCUUUACGAAUUGUAGUUUAAAGAAGUGUUUUCUGCUUAGAGUUUCGGUAAAAGUUCUUUGGAAUAGGACAUCAUAGAGGGUGAGAAUCCCGUAUUUGACCGUUAUUUCUAGCUUUGUGAUACACUUUCAAAGAGUCGGAUUGCUUUGGGAAUGCAGUCCAAAACUGGGAGGUAAAUUUCAUUCUAAGGCUAAAUAUUGGCGAGAGACCGAUAGCGAACAAGUACCGUGAGGGAAAGAUGAAAAGAACUUUGAAAAGAGAGUUAAACAGUACGUGAAAUUGUCAAAAGGGAAGCGUUUGACACCAGUGUUGUUUUCUCGAAAAUCAACCUUGUUAAGCUUCAUGUAUGUUUGUUUAGACCUAAUCAGCUAUCUUGCAUGUUCUAUUGUUUGCAGUGGUGCACUUUUCAGUUUACAGGUCAACAUCAGUUUUUUUACCGUAAAAAAGUUAAAGAAAGGUAGCUCAUGGCUCCGGUCGUGAGUGUUAUAGUCUUUUUCCUAUGCGGUAGGAGAGACUGAGGUCUGCACUGUAGGCUAUUUGGCUAGAUACUCAGGUGCUAUGUGAUACCAUUUCAUAAACAACUUGUUGAUUAUGUUUUGUCUAUUGCAUACUCGCUUGUACUAUCAUACCUACGCUUAGGAUGUUGACUGAUAUGUAGUCGU